ensembl:snRNA U6 U6 spliceosomal RNA
AUACUUGCUGCAGCAGUGCAUAUGCUAAAAUUAGAAUGAUUCAAAGAUUAGCAUGACCCUUGCACGAGGAUGACACGUUUAUGAAAUGUUCCAUUAAAAA